rnacentral:rRNA from 1 species
AACGAACGCUGGCGGCAUGCCUAACACAUGCAAGUCGAACGAGACGUUCGGGUCUAGUGGCGCCCGGGUUCGUAACGCGUGGGAACCUGCCCUUAGGUUCGGCAUAACUCCCCGAAAGGGGUGCUAAUACCGGAUAAUGUCUUCGGACCAAAGAUUUAUUGCCUUUGGAUGGGCCCGCGUUGGAUUAGCUAGUUGGGAGGGUAAAAGCAUACUAAGGCGACGAUCCAUAGCUGGUCUGAGAGGCGGCUCAGCCAAACUGGGACUGAGACACGGCCCAGACUCCUACGGGAGGCAGCGGAGGGGAAACUUGGACAGUGGGCGAAAGCCUGAUCCAGCGAUGGCGCGUGAGUGAUGAAGGCGUUGGAGUUGUAUAGCUCUUUUACCCGGGAUGAUAAUGACCGUACCGGGAGAAUAAGCUCCCGGUAACCUCGGGC